rnacentral:rRNA from 1 species
GAUGAACGCUAGCGGCAGGCUUAACACAUGCAAGUCGAGGGGCAGCGCGGUGUAGCAAUACACUGGCGGCGACCGGCGCAAGGGUGCGUAACGCGUGAGCGACAUACCCGUGACUGGGGCAUAACCGAUGGAAACGUCGCCUAAUUCCCCAUAAUACAAGGGACCGCAUGAUUCCUUGUUAGAAAACUUCGGUGGUCACGGAUUGGCUCGCGUCCCAUUAGCUAGUCGGCGGGGUAACGGCCCACCGAGGCGACGAUCUCUAGCUGGUUUUAGCGGAUGAUCAGCCACAUUGGAACUGAGACACGGUCCAAACUCC